rnacentral:tRNA from 1 species
AGUCCCGAGGUGUUAUCAUAACAGCUUGCAAGUCUGAAGUAGCAGGUUAGACUCCUGCCGGGGCUU